rnacentral:lncRNA from 1 species
UGUUGGAGUUUCCCUUCGGCGGCACACGUGCACUGAGAAGAAAGUUAAACUAAUAGAGAAGUUACAAGAGAAGUAAAUAUGUAAUAAGCAGAGCCAGGCCUCAAGUCCCAAAUGCCUUGAAGGAUUGGGCUAUUUGAAAUAGGAGAUAUGGCCCAGUACUGAAAUGUACAUUUCUUAUUCUAGUCAUGAUGGAAUAUGCAACUGACAGCAUCGUGCUAUUUCAUGAAAAGUAAUAAUUGAGUUUUACUUACACAUUGUUUUACCUUUAUAGAUUUGAGGUUGAUACAUAUAUUCUGGAACAUGAUUACACUUCCUGCUGGCUGCCACCGUCAGAGCGCUACAGGAAGCUGUGACAGUACUGCCAGUUGUGCAGUGAGGAAUGCGAGGAGGCAUGGAGCACCUUCUGGUCUGUGUUACAGCACAGGUGUGGCAUGAGAGGAGGGAAAGUAAGGACAAAUAUUUCCUGCUGGAUUUCUCCUCUCUCUCCCACGUGCCUUCCUUUCAUUUACCUUUCAGAUGGCUUUCCUCAUACCCUCCCAUGUGUCCGUGCUCUGUUCUCAACCCCUGUUCCCUCUGGGUAACCUCAUCCAAGUUCUGCUGCUCUUUAUGCUGACGACUCAGAGAUCUUGCUCUCUUCCUCACCUGUUUGUUAAUUUGAAUUCAAGUCUGAGCU